rnacentral:rRNA from 1 species
UACAGAGGUCCCAAGCGUUGUUCGGAUUCAUUGGGCGUAAAGGGUGCGUAGGCGGCGCGGUAAGUCGGGUGUGAAAUCUCGGGGCUUAACUCCGAAACUGCAUUCGAUACUGCCGUGCUUGAGGACUGGAGAGGAGACUGGAAUUUACGGUGUAGCGGUGAAAUGCGUAGAUAUCGUAAGGAAGACCAGUGGCGAAGGCGGCGCUCUGGGCUGGAACUGACGCUGAGGAGCGAAAGCGUGGGUAGCAAACAGG